rnacentral:lncRNA from 1 species
CCAGGUGUCACAUACAAAAUCAUGAGUUCAAUCCAUGAUUUAAAAAUUAAAUCAACUGAAAUCAUGAAUUCAAUUUACGAUUUUAAGCGACUGAUGUGGCACAAAAAAUCAUGAUGCAACCUAUGAUUUCACAAAUUUUUUUUUUCUCUUUUCUUUUUUUUUUUGGUAUGGAAGACCUACGGGGCGGACUCGUGGGCGUGCCGC